rnacentral:rRNA from 1 species
UUAAAUUGAAGAGUUUGAUCAUGGCUCAGAUUGAACGCUGGCGGCAGGCCUAACACAUGCAAGUCGAACGGUAACAGGAAGCAGCUUAAUCCUU